rnacentral:lncRNA from 1 species
UUUCCCAGUUGAUUUCUGCUAUUGUGUGAGGGUGGGCUCUUGAUUUGUAUCAAAAUCAGUCGGGAAGACUUCUGAGAUGACCUCAUGAGGAACUAGUACUCCUGCAGAUUGGACCAAAGAGGCCAUAGCCCUACAGGCCAGAUUAUACGUUUACAGAGUGAUGUGCUUUAAAGUUAGAUUGUAAAUGCAUGACUAAAUUUGUGUAUUUAGCAUCUAAAUUAGUUGUUAAUAGGCUUCAUGUGAGAAGGGACCUUGAGCCUACCCUUGGGGACUUUUGUCUAGGAAAGUCAGAUAGCCCUGUAUCGAGGGAAGUACAUGGUAAAGAAAGGCCAGAGAAUAUGAUACAUCCUGACAUAUCAAUUUUUUUUUUUCUAUUUCCAUGCACUGGAGAAAGGAGAGAAAGAUUUGUACAGUAAGCAUGUGAGUGUGGAAGGCCAGGUGUAUUUUAGAUCAAUAGAGGAAUGGCCACGGUACUCUAGUGAAAGAAACAGCAUUGAGGCUGAGAUCUGAGAAGGGUCUCAGAGACGGGAGAGGCAGUGAAGAAGCCACGUCUAGCAGGAGUGUCCAGGAGAAGGAGAGGCAUCUGGAUAUGUCCAUAUUCAAGGAAUUUUCUGUUUAUUUUUUAAGAUAUGGAUGGUUUUCUGCUAAGUGAAAAUGCCUGGGCUUGAUCUCUACACAUUCAGAAGCUACUUGAUGUCCUUGAUAUGGAAGAGCAUUAUGAUAAAAGUAAUGUUUGAAAUUAAAUCUGAAGUACUUAUUGUUGACAGCUAACUUUUUUUAAAGCAUAUAACUCAUGCCAGGCACUAUUCCUUUAUAUUUAUGAAUUAAUGUAAACCUUAGAACAAUUUGAUGAGAUAGCUACUAUUAGCUCUAUUUUACAGAGGAGUAAACUAAGAAUCAGAAAAGGUAAAUAAUUCGCCCAGGACUACACAGGGAAUAAAAGGCAGGUGCUAUGAACCAAGCCUGGACACUUGUACUCCAGAGUCUGCUAAAUCAUUCUGCUGUACUUUCAGUUUGUUCAGUAUCUGUCAUAGACCUUUAAAUAACAAUGAAGUUUUUACAACAAAAUAACUCUUAAUAGUUUCAUAUUAUUGUUUGUUAGGAAUAUAUAAAGUUAUUCACUCAGUUCUCUCUUUGGUCAACAGUUAAGAUUGUUUUCCAUUUUUGAAAAAUACUAUGAUAAACAAAGCUGCAUGAAUUUUUAUAUUUGAAAGCACACCUCCAGGAAAACUAACUUUUUAGCAACGAAAUGACUGGAUCAAAGGACAUGCAUAUUUUUAAGGAUUUUGACAUAUGCUAUCAUGAAUCACUCUCCAGAAUUCUUGUCCCAAAUUGCAUUGCACCAUCAGAGUCUGAGAUGAUCAAUAUUCCUAAACCCUCAGCAGAAGUGAUCAUCUUUUAUCUUUGAUAGUAGCAAUAUAACUCACUGUGUUUCAUUUUGAAUUUUUUUUUUUUUUUUAAUUUUUUUUUUUUUCAACGUUUAUUUAUUUUUGGGACAGAGAGAGACAGAGCAUGAACGGGGGAGGGGCAGAGAGAGGGAGACAGAAUCGGAAACAGGCUCCAGGCUCUGAGCCAUCAGCCCAGAGCCCGACGCGGGGCUCAAACUCACGGACCGUGAGAUCGUGACCUGGCUGAAGUCGGACGCUUAACCGACUGCGCCACCCAGGCGCCCCUCAUUUUGAAUUUUUUAUUGCUAAUCAAAAAGUUGAAUAUUUUCAUUUUUAGUAUUAAUUAUAUCUCCUUUUUUUAUGAAUUAGGUGAUCCCAUUGGUGAUUAAUUGCAAUGUUUUAUAGAGUAUGAUUAUCCCUAGAGAUUUAAUUUUAUAUCUUAUAUAUUUUUUAUUUUUUUUUAAUUUUAAUGUUUAUUUAUUUUUGAGAGAGAGAGACACAUCAUGAGUGAGGGAGGGGCAGAGAGAGAGCGAGACACAGAAUCCAAAGCAGGCUCCAGGCUCUGAGCUGUCAGCACAGAGCCCGACGCAGGGCUCGGACUCAUGAACUGUGAGUUCAUGACCUGAGCUGAAGUCAGACGCCCAACCGACUGAGCCACCCAGGUGCUCCAUAAUGUUUAUUUAUUUUUGAGAGACAGAGAGACAGAGCAAGAACAGGGGAAGGGCAGAGAGAAGGAGACACGGAAUCUGAAGCAGGCUGCAGGCUCUGAGCUGUCAGCACACAGCCUGAUGUGGGCCUCAACCCCAUGGACCGCGAGAUCAUGACCUGAGCUAAAGUCGGAUGCUUAACUGACUGAGCCACCCAGGUGCCCCAAAUUUUAUAAUUUUUCGAUGUAAAAAAGCUUUUUAAAAAUUUACACAACUGAGAACAAACUGAGGGUUGAUGGGGGGUGGGAGGGAGGGGAGGGUGGGUGAUGGGUAUUGAGGAGGGCACCUUUUGGGAUGAGCACUGGGUGUUGUAUGGAAACCAAUUUGUCAAUAAAUUUCAUAUAUAUAAAAAAAAAUUUACACAAACACAUCAAUAUUUUUCUUUAAAGUCUCAGCACUUGUUUGGAUAGUUGGAAACUCUUUCCCUAAUGUCAAUAUUAUAUAAAUGUUUGCUCUCAUUUUGUAUCUUUCUUUAUGGUGGUGUUUUUUUUUAAGUAUCUGAUUUAUUUUGAUGAAUGAGAUGAAGUAGGUGUCUUGCUUUUUGUUUUUUCUCAAAUAAUUAGCACUUGUCCUGCUUAUAAAGUGAUUUUUCAGCCACUAGUCAUUAUGAUCAUAAUUUUUAUUCAUACUAUUAACCUGAAUUAUUGCAUUAUUAACAUAUAUUAAUAUAUUGAUUAAUGUUGAAACAUACAAACUUCAUUAAUUUAGAUGCUAAUAUGAAUCAGCUCUUUUCCUUGAGAUAUUUAUCUUAAUUAUCAUGGUGCUUUUGUUUGGCUAGUAGAAAAUACGUUGUUUCUAAUUACACAAAUAAUGCAGAUUUAUUGCAGAAACAAAUCAAACACACAGUAGAAGAAAAAAAACAGGUAAUAAUUGCUAUUAAGUUUUUAGGUUAGAUCCUUCCAUCUCUUGAUAUGCAGUUUUUAAGAUACUCUACAUCUUGAUUUAUAAUCUAUUUUUAAAUUCAAUCAUAGCAGAAUUUUUUUCUCUACCUAGAUAUAUAUCUUAUAACAUCAAGUAUAAUGGCUGUAUAGUUUGGCACACACACAAAUGUGCUGCAGUUUAUUCAACCAAUCACAGAUCUUUUUUCUUAAAUUUAGUCAUUUUCCAAGGUUGUUUUUACAAACAAUGAUAUAACCUUCCUAUAUCUACAUCUUUGGGAAAGAUCUGCUUGAUUGUAAGAAGAUAAAGCAUAGUUUUUCAUGGGAGUUCUAACAUUCUUCUCCUUCAUUCUGCAUAACAUAUCUCAACCAAAGUCCUUUUCCCAAAGCAUUGUUUUCAACACAGGAAUAAUUUCUUUUCAGUGAGGUGCCUAUAUUGGAAGUACACUGCUUUUGAGAUCCCAUUUACAUCCAAGACUGUGUAAACCUCCCACAGAGGAGGCUCUGUCCUGCCUGUGCCACUCUGGAUCUGUUUACCUUCAGAUUUGUCUCUCAGCUUCCCUGCCUGCCCCCCAAUUUUCUUUACCUGGAAGCCUGGACUGCUGGAGCUAAGGAUGUCUUUGCUGUCCCUUGCCCCCAUUACUCUGAGGAAGGAAGAAGAUCUUCCAGCACUAUUUUUUCCAACUGCCCCCUAAGCUUUUGGAUACUCAAGUGCUCCAUGAAGGGACAUAGGGAUAUGUUGGCAAGGUGAUGGAUUCCUGUUUGGUGCUUUGCCAUUUGGGGACUCUACACUGUCACACCAUGUCAGCUCACACAUGGUCAAUUCACAGUUUGGUGGAUAUUUUAUUGGUCUACCCCUUUUUUCUUCUAAUUGGGUAAAUUUGACAUGUAACACUAUAUAAAUUUAAGUUGUACAUUGUGUCAUUUUUAUAUUUUUAUAUGUUGUAAUAUAGUUGCCAUUGUAAUGAUAUUUAUCACAUUUACUAAUAGUAUAAUACUGUCUAUGUUCAAUAAGCUGUACAUUAAAUCUCAAUGGCUAUUUGAGCACUUUAAAUAAAUUUUUACUCUUAGACACAAUCAAUCUUAUCCUACCCGCCAUCCCCACCACUUAACUGUUUUUUUUCCACGUUUAAUUUUUUUAAGAUUCCACAUUAAGUGAUAUAUAGUACUGUCUUCUCUGUCUAGCUUAUCUCAUUUAACGUAAUGUGAUCAAGUUCCAUCAAUGUUGAUGCAAAUGGCAGGGCAUCCUCCUUUCUCCUGACUUUAUAAUAUUCCAUUGUGUGUAUAUAUCAUAUCUCUUUUAUUCAUUAUCCAUUGAUGGGCAUUUGGGCUGCUUCCAUAUCUAUUGUGAAUAAUGUUGCAGUAAACAUGGGUGUUCAUAUAUCAUAUCUCAUCAAAUUCCUGUUUUCAUUUCCUUGGCUAUAUUCCCAAAAAUAUAAUUGUUGGGUUGCAUCAUAGGUCAAUUUUUAAUUUUUGGGAGGAACUCAUCCUAUUGUUUUUCAUAGUAGUUGGACUAAUUUACAUUCCCACCAAGGCUGUUUAAGGGCUCCCUUUUUACUACAUCCUUGCCAGCACUUGUUGACUUGUCUCGUCUUCUUGAUGAUAGCCUUUCUUUUUUUUGUAAGUAAGCUCUAUGCCCAACAUAAGGCUGGUCUUGAACUCCUGACUCUAAGAUCAGGAGUUGCAUACUCUACCAACUGAGUCAGCCAGGUGCCCCUUGUUGGUAGCCAUUCUAAUAGAUAUGAGUUGAUAUCUCAUUGCGGUGUUUAUUUGCAUUUCUCUAAUGAUUAAUGAUGUUUAGCAUUUUCUCAUGACCCUGUUGGCCAUUUUUAUGUCCUGGUUUAUAUUUUCUUAGAAGAUUCCUCCUCCUCCUGUGUUGGCAAAGAGGAGAAAAAUGGUCUCUUCUUUCUUAUAAGGAGAAAUCCACUCUAUUGUUAAGUUCAUUUUAGUUUCUUUGUGUCCUCAACCCUCAAAUGUUUUUCAAAAACUAUGAUAUUAUAUCUUCUCAAGCUUAUUUUGGUGUUUUCUGGGAGUUCUAUUGUCUCUUGUAAUUUUCUACAUCAUAACCUAGUGUAGGACUCCUCAUGUUUUUGAUCUCAGGAUAUAGAUAUAGAUGUAUAUACAGAUAUGUAUGUCUAUCUAUCUUUUGUCACUUUUUUAAGAACAUUUUUUAAAGUUAUUUUUGACAGAGAGAGACAGAGCAUGAGUGGGGGAGAGGCAGAGAGAGGGAGACAUAGAAUCUGAAGCAGGCUUCAGGCUCUGAGCUGUCAACACAGAGCCGAAUGUGGGGCUCAAACUCAUGGACCACAAGAUCAUGACCUGAGCCAAAGUUGGAUGCUCACCCGACUGAGCCACCCAGGUGCCCCUCUUUUGUCACGUUUUAAAAAUAAGGAAACUUUCCUAGAAUACUCCUCAGCAGAUACUUCCUCAGAACUCAGUGGCCAGAAUUGUACUGUGUGCCCAAUCCUAACUAAUUAUGGGCAAGAAGAUGAAAUUACUGUUAAGAUUAACAAGAUUAAGACUUUGGGACAUUAAAGGCUGACUUCUGAUCCUGUAAAAAGAAAAAGAAAAAAAGUGCAAAUUUCUAUUAAGAGUAAGGCAGGGGAGUGACUUUGGGUAGAUGACAAAUAGUAUAUGUGGUAUAGAUACAAAGACUGGAGAUAAGAGUGAGAGAACGGGUCCCAAACUAUUACGGACCACACAUCCUGGGAAAUGGGAAAAUAGAUUGUUAUUGAGAGAAAUAUGAAAAGAACAAAAAGAUGUGAGUCUUGACAGAAAGAUGAUAGCUUUGGUUUGGCACAAGUUGGUCAGAGAUGGGAUUUUCAAAAGGAAUUGCAGGCACAUAGUUACAAAAUUUGAAGCACACAACAGCAGAGUACAUAUUGACUCUUGAAAACUUCUUUAUAGAUAUGUUUGUCAAUGCCAUGGAAGUAAGAUUACUGAGGAUGACACUGGAAAAGAACAAAGCCUGAGCAUUAGGAAUCAUCCCUAAUUAAGACUACAAAGACUGAAUAAAUGAAGAAGGUACAGGUGGAAACAGAAUAGAUAUUAUUUUUAAAAAGCCAAUGUCCCUCCCUUGCAAACACAGACUAUAAGACUCAUCAAUGAAUUAUUAACAUCAUCCAUCGUUUUUCUUCUCUAUAAGCAAAUAUUUAAAAAAUUUUAGCUGUUCCAUCUAGGGGCUGUACAUCAUUUAUUUAAUAAUUCCUCUGUUUUGGGAUAUUUACUUAUCUACAGUUAUGUUUUUUUACAUCUGCUCCUUUAAUCUAGUUCCAGUUUUCCACCUCAGAGUCUGAACCAAGAGGCAUAUAGUCCCAGAGCAAGAAAAUAAAGAUAUUUUUUGCAAUACAGUUGGCUUGAAAACAAUGAUUAAUAUAAGGAAAACCUGCUUGAAAUUCCUCUGGUAUAUGAUGAAAUAAGGUUGACCUACUGAGACCAUAUAUUCUCUCAGUUCAGAGUGAUACAUUUACUCUCACAAAAGCUUAACCGCAAGGUUGCAUUCAGGAAGAAGGAGAAUGUGAUGUAAAGAAAGUAAAAAUAAAAUCCUAUCCUCCUUGUCUUGAAGUAUUGUGCAAAGAAAAGAAGGCAAUGGAAGAAAAAAAUAGUUGAUCAGAUGCGUUCCCCAAUAUUCCUUAUAGGUUUAAACCCAGAGAGGCCAAAAUGAGGUGUAUUGAUUGAAAAAAUGGGGGGGGGGCUCAAUAAGCAACUCUUCUUCAUUUGGUCCUGUACAAACAUGAAGGAGCUUGAAUAAUGAUAAAAUUUUUACUCAGAAAGAGAGGAUUCUGGUUUGCCUUCCUAAGCUUCCCUUCAUUCCUGUGUGGCCUAGACACUGUGGCAGAGGCAAGGUGGCCUUUUGACAUAAACUGAAAAUCCACUAAUAACAUAGGAGGUUGCAUGACAGAGGAAGUGACACAAAAUCAGAAAUAUCUAACUAGAACCUGAACUAGAUCUGAACAACAAUUGAGUUAGCAGAGAUAUCAUUAGGCUUUAAGUGAAAUAAGGAAGUGAUUUAAAUUUUAUCAACUAAAGACAUCAGCAAUAAAUACCAGAGAAAUGCCAAUGGAUAAUAUGAUAGUUGUCUCCACAGUGGCCACUAUCUAUAUCUUUUCUACCUGAACAUGCAAUAAUAUUCCUCUGACUAUUCCCUUUGACUCUGGAUUUUCCUUUGGGACUUCGCAAUAGAAUGUGGUCAAAGUAAUGUUCUAGGAUUUCGGAGGCUAUAUCAUUAGAGGUUUGAAGCUUUCAAGUAGGUCUCUUGGAGCCCCAGCUACAAUAGUAUAAGAAGCUCACAGCACAUAGAGAGGGCCAUCAUCUGACAUCCAAAGGUGAGCCUCAUCCAUAGAUAGAAUCAACUGUCAUCCAUCUGAAUAAACCAUCUUGGACAUACGGUCCAGAUGAGACUUCAGAUGAUCUCAGCACUGUAGCUACAGUCCUGAGAUAUCUGAGGAUAGAACCAUCUAGUUGAGCCCAAUCUACCCACAGAACUGUGAAAGAUACUAUCAAUUUUUAUUUUAAGUCACUAAGUUUUGGGGUGGUUUGUAAUGCAGCAAAAGAUAACCAGGCCAGAUGUGAUAGGUCCAAACAUCCCAACAGAGGCCUCUGAAGCCAAACUCAAACUGGAUCUGGGGGAUGACAUUUUGGUAUGAAGAAUUUUUCACCAAAUAAGCAAGAGGUCAUGAAACCAUUUUCCUAAAUGCAUUUUUAAAUAUAAUUUAUUGGCAAAUUGGCUAACACAGUGUAUACAGUGUGCUCUUGGUUUUGGGGGUAGAUUCCCAUGGUUCAUUGCUUACAAACAACACCCAGUGCUCACUCCAACAAGUGCCCUCCUCAAUGUCCAUCACCCAUUUUUCCCUCUCCCCCACCCCCCAUCAACCCUCAGUUUGUUCUCUGUAUUUAAGGUCUCUUAUGGUUUAUCUCCCUCCCUCUCUGUAACUAUUUUCCCCCUUCCCUUCCCCCAUGGUCUUAAGUUUCUCACAUUCCACAUAUGAGUGAGAACAUAUGAUAUCUGUCUUUCUCUGACUGACUUAUUUUACUUAGCAUACCUGCCAGUUCUAUCCACGUUGCUGCAAAUGAUUUCAUUCUUUCUCAUCUCCAAGUAGUAUUCCAUUAUAUAUAAAAACCACAUGUUUUUUAUCCAUUCAUCAGUUGAUGGACAUUUAGGCUCUUUCCAUAAUUUGGCUAUUGUUAAAAGCACUGCUAUAAACUGUAUUUUUGAGUAGAGAAGGAAGUAGGGGACAGACAUAUGAAAAACUGAACAUUCCCCCCGCCCCCCAAUACAGGACAUUACCUGAAAUCGUUUUUAAAUUACCAUAUUAGGCUAAAUAAGAUUAAAUAUAGUAAGUGGAAGCUUAUGAGGAAGACUACUAGCUCAUGUACAGGCAAAUAAAGAAAGUGCAUUUUAUAUGGGUCACACUAUAAUCAAAUUGAGCAGGAAUCAGUCCUUUGCAGCUUGUUUUUGUCAAUAAAGUUUUACUGGAACACAGCCAUGCCCAUUUGUUUACAUAUUUUCUGUAACUGUUGUAGUGCUGUAAUAGUUGCAGAAGAAACUGGCCUGCAAAGCCUCAAGUACUUACUCUCUGGCACUUUAAAGGAAAAGUGUACUGACCUCUAUAUAAAGUGAAAACUGGAACCAUGAUUCACACACAGACUUUAAAUAACUUGCAAUUAUAUUUUCAGGGUAAAUUCCUAGAAGUAGAAUUGCUAGGCCACAGAGUUUGUGUAACAUUAAAGUCUUUUGUAAAUUUUGGUUCUAAUUUAUCUCCAGAAAAAUGGUAUCAUUUUACAUAUAAUCAUAUCAAUAUGAGAUGCCACGUUCUCUGUAUCCUCACCAGUGUCAUAAAAUUUAACUUUAGAGUCAUAUAAAAAGGAGGAGGAGGAGGAGCCAGAGGAGGAAUAAAAGGAAGUGGAGGAGGAGGGGGAGGAGAAUAAGGAGGCGAUAAAGCUCUUGUACACAAAUCUUUAUCUGUAUCAUUUAGGAUAUUUCUUACAAGCAAAAUUACAGGGUCAAUGUAUUAAAAGUGUAUUAAGUCCCCCCCCAUGAAAAAAACAUAGUAAGUACCCUGCUAUAUAUUGCCAAAUUAAUUUCCAGAAGAGUUGUACCAAUUUACACUCCUCCUUAUAUUGUAUGAAAUGAACACAUUUCACUUAACAAGUACAUAUGUUAGAUAAGUGGUAUAUUUAUUUCACAUAGUAGUGUCAAUUACGUUGCUCACAUGUUAGACAAAAACCGUAUCCCAUAUUUGUUUUAAUUUUCCCUUUAUUCCUCAAUACAUUUGAGUAUUUCCUGUAAAGUUAUUAAUCACUUUGGUUAAUAUUAAAGGUCUCUUACAGUUUUUUUAACCAGCUUUUCUUUGUUUUCCUAAUUGUAUUUAUAUAACAUAUAUUCAAGAAAUACAUUUUAAAAAAUAGGCAUAUGAGUCUGUUGCUAGACUUUCUGUUCUAUUUGUGUGUUGAUCUACUUCUAUGCUGGUACUAAUCAGAAAUAGGUAUUAUAGAUUAUGAUGUGUUUUGGCAUCUGGUAAGGCUUAGGUACAUUUAUUGUUCUUUUUUAAAGUUUUGAGUUAUUCAUAUGCCUAUUCUCUUUCAGAUUAUUUUAGAAACACCCUGUCAAAGUCCAUAAAAAUCUUUCUGAAAUUUGCAUGGAGAUUGACUUGAUAUGUUUGCAAUUUCACCCAAUUUUCUACUGAGAUAUUUGUUACAGAAAAUUAUUUUGAAUUGAUUACAAAUUAAAUAAUUGUUAAUAUUUGUGAAAAUUAUAACUUUUUAAUUUUUGAUGGUUUUUUGGUAGAAAGUAUUUUUAUCUUGAUUAGCUUAUAUUGAUCUUAUAAAUUGUGUGUUUUUCCUUUAUUGACAUAUUUCAAAUGGCAAAUACUCUAUUGAGCAAGUGGUAAAAUAAAAAUUUUACCUUCAGAGAAAGAAAAAUGGUUGAAGCUUUCUAUAAUGUAAAUAUAAGCUAUAAUGAAAAUAUUAACUAAAAAUACAAACUAUAAUAGAAUCUGUUGAGAUUUUUUAAAUAGGGAGGCUAGUUUGGGUAUAAAUAGAGCCUUUAUUUUGAGAAAUUCAGAGUGUGCAUAAACAAUUUUGAUAGGGAAAAAUGGAUUCACGUCCAGAUGUUGUGGCAUUCAUACUUCACUGGUAUUUGAUACUGGGUGGAAGGUGGGGUUCAUAGGUCCAUAGUGUUUCUGGCUCAUUUAUGUAUCAACCCAGUUGUAUCCCAGAGAAUGGGAGCAGGCUUUCAUUCUUGGUCCUAAUAUGUGUUUUUCAUCUGUAGGUUAUGUCUAAAGACCCUGGUCAUUCGUAAGUAUCAGUGGCCAUAUAGUUCUCUUUACUGUAUCAGAUAUUUCUCUGGCCUGUUUAGUUGGCAUAGUUAUCUUACUAUAGAAAAAUUGCUUUGAUUUGAAAUAGGUCAUCUGUUGCCUCUUCUAGUCUGAAUAUAGACCUAUGUCACUUCAGAAGCCAGGAGGAAUAGGGCAGUCUAACAGUAGAAUGCAAUGAAACUUAGAGUAAAUCUGAGCACUGUUAAUGGAAGUAUAAUAGCAGUAAUAGGAUCUUCAGUAGGCCUCUAGGGAUUAAGCUAUCAACCAGCAAAUGCUCAUCUUAAUUCUCCUUAAGAUGGGACAGACAGUAAAGCUGAUAUCAAGAUUCCUAAAAACUUCUGCAAAGAAACUGAAAGUUAAUAUGAGCCUUUACAUUAAACAAAAUACAACAAAACAGAUCCAUAGGCUAUACAGCUUGAGACACAUGGGCCUAUGCCCAUCAAUGCAGGGGGAUGCUAACUUUGUUGCUUUUUUUUUUGUCAUCCUUAUCCCAUUCCUACUGUGGAUGAAAGGCAACCAUAUUUUUUUUUCUAUUUUUGAUUUAUUUUUAAAUUAGGUCUUUAAUCCAUGUUGAGUUUAUUUUUGUGUAUAGUAUUAAACAGCGGUCCAGUUUCAUUGUUUUACAUGUAGCUGUACAGCUUUCCAGGCACAAUUUAUUGAAGAAACUGUCUUUCCCUAUUGAAUAUUGUUGCCUCCUUUGUCAUAGAUUGACUAUAUAAUCAUGGGUUUAUUUCUGGGUUGUAUUCUGUUCCAUUGAUCUAUGUGUCUUAUUUUUGUCCCAGUACCGUAAUGUUUUAUUACAGAUCUAUAGAUAUCUUGAAAUCUAAUAUUGUUAUACCUCCAGCUUUGUUCUUCUUUCUCAGGAUUGCUUUCUCAGGAUGGCUAUUCAGGGUUUUCUGUGUUUCUAUACAAAUUUUAGUAUUAUUUGUUCCAGUUUUGUGAAAAAUUCUAUUGGUAUUUUUUUUUUUUUAUUAUUUAUUUUUGGGACAGAGAGAGACAGAGCAUGAACGGGGGAGGGGCAGAGAGAGAGGGAGACACAGAAUCGGAAACAGGCUCCAGGCUCUGAGCCAUCAGCCCAGAGCCCGAUGCGGGGCUCGAACUCACGGACCGCGAGAUCGUGACCUGGCUGAAGUCGGACGCUUAACCGACUGCGCCACCCAGGCGCCCCUCUAUUGGUAUUUUAAUAGAGAUUGUAUCAAAUCUAUAGAUUGCUUUGGGUAAUAUGGACAUUUUAACAACAUUAGUUCUUACAACUCAUGAGCAUGAAAUAUCUUUACAUUUGUUUGUGCCAUCUUCAAUUUCUUUUAUCAGUAUUUUAUAGUUUUUGGAGUACAGGUCUUUCACCUCUUUGGUUAAGUUUAUUUUUAGGUAUUUGAUUAUUUUUUGGUGCAAUUGUAAAUGUUUUCUUAAUUUCUCUUUCUGCUAUUUCAUUAGUAGUGUAUAGAAAUGCAAUUGAUUUAUGGAUAUUGAUUUUGUAUACUCUGACCCUUCUGAAUUCAUUUAUCAGUUCUAGUAGUUUUUUGGUGGAGUCUUUAGGGUUUUCUGUGUAUGGUAUCAUGUCAUCUGCAAACAACAACAGUUUAAUUUCUUUGCCAAUAUGGAUGCCUCCUAUUUAUUUUUUUUUGUAUGAUUUCUGAGUCUAGGACUUCCAGUACUAUGUUGAAUAAAGAUAGUGAGAGUGGACAUACUUGAUACCAAAACCAGAUAAAGACACCACAGGGAAAAUAAAAAAAAGAACAAGAAAAAGGAAACUACAGGCCAAUAUCCCUGAAGAACAUAGAUGCACAAAUCCUCAACAAAAUAUUAGCUUCCUACAUAGAAUAUGUUAAAAAAUAAUCCGCCAUGAUAAGUUGGGAUUUAUUCCAGGGAUGCAAGGAUGGUUCAAUAUUCACAAAUUGAUCAACUUCAUAUACCACAUCAACAAAACAAAGGAAAAAAGUCAUAUAAUCUUUUCAAUAAAUACAGAAAAAUUUUCUGACAAGAUUGGACAUCCAUUCAUGAUUAAAAACUCUCAAUAAAGUGGGGUUAAAUGGAACAUACCCCAACAUAAUAAAGUCCAUGUAUGAAAAACCCUCAGCUAACAUCUUACUCUAUGUUGAAAAACUGAGAGCUUUCCCUUUAGAGUCAGGAAAGGCAGCCAUCUUUGAUAACAAUCGUGGUAGCAUCCUAUAGUCCCCAAAUGUAAAAGCAACUUUGCCCAGGAUGCUAGAAUUAUCUGGCUUCCUGCCAUAACUGUUAUAUUCCAAUUCAGUUAUCCCCUGAGCAUUGAAAAGAUUAUUGGACAAAAUGGAGCCUCAGUGGAAUUGAGAGUACUUUUCCCAAUUUUUGGUCAAAAUUAUUGUCCUACUUUGGCUCCAAGCUGGAACUGUAAUACUCUUUAUUUUAGAAAUAUCAUAAUCUGCAGAGUGUCCCACAUGACCCUGGCCUACACUCAGGCAUUAAUGUUGCCACCACCUUUGCUCUAAAGGCUACCACCACAGCUUUCUUCUCUCACUCUUGUUCUAACUCAUUUUUCAGUUUGCCUAUUUUCUCAUUCCCUUAACUUUCUCUCAGAUUUGUAUUCCAGCAGUUUUUCUGUCUUCCAAGGCACAGCACAUUUCUAUGAGUAUCAUCUUUUUUGACUAGCUCAUGAACUUGAUAGUGGAGGUGCAGACAGUCUUGAUUUAUCCAAAGACUAUUCCAAACUAUGCUAUGGACAUAUCUUCUUCCUACUGAAAAUAUAUAUCCUAAUAAUAUUUUGGGGAGAUUUGGAAACUACUUUAUCAUUUAGUCAACCUUACUCCCAUUAAGUUUAAAACUAAAGCCACAUAGCUACAUUAACACUGGUUCUUUUCCAUUGCUAGCCACAGUUGUGAUUCAGAAGCUCUGAUGUGGGGAGGGGUUGUGGCCUAAUUCUGGCAUAUAAUUCAGGAGUAUUUAUUGAGUAUUAUUUUAUGUAAGCGUCAGAUCUAGGCAAUUAGAGCUCAUCAGUUACCCUCAGAGAAGGGCCUGCUAAAGUGGAGUAGAUGCUAUACAAAGGUUAUUGCCUUAUGAUUAUUACUUUUAUUAUUGUUUGUCACCUACCAUAUAUUGCCUUGUGUCAUAGUGAUUUGUCAACAUUUAAUUAUCUUAAAUUUCUCAAAGGAAGAAACCAUGUCUCAAUUUCAUUUCAAUAAUUAUAAAAAGUCCAUCUAUUCAACACAUGUUUAUUAGAGACUUCACUAGGCACUAGAGAAACAAUGAUGAGCAAGACUGGCAUUAUCUGUACUGCAUGGAGCUUACAGUCCAGGAGAAGUUUGUUUAAACAAGUAACUGUAAUCAGUAUAAUCAGUAUUAAUGACUCUGAUAGGAAGCACAGCAUGCUGAGGACACAUAGCAGUGGAAUCCAGCUAAGGGAUUACUAUCCACUUUGAGAGUCUAUAUACUCAAAAAUAUUGUUGAAUGUAUGUAUAGCAGAGUCAGGCCAAUACCUCUUUCCACUUCAGAGCCCCUGAGUCAUAACUGUGACUAGCAAUGGAAAAGAGACAGUUUUGAUGUUGAUAUGCAUCACAGGAUUUAUAUAAAAAGUAAUAUUUAUACCAAAAUGAGUAGUAUUUGUACAGGCAAAUAGGAGAAUGGGGUAGAGGCUGACUAGGGAGAGAGUAGUCCAGGAAAAGAGAAGAGAUGAACAAAAGUUUAGAGGUGAUGGAAAACAUUGCAUAUUGGGAUUCUGAAAAGAAUACCAUUAAUUGGAAGGCAAGUCAAGAAUAACUGUAUGAGACAUUUUAGUGGGUUUAGACUAUAACUUAAACUAUUAAAUGAUUCAAUGAAUGAAUAAAAGAAUCAUAUUUGUGUCACAGAAGGAAAAUUCUGUCCUCUUUGUGAAAAAAAAAUAGAUUGAAGAGAGAUGCAGGACUGUAAGUGGAGACAAGGACUAAGAAAUAGUCUUAGUAAUCUAGUCAGUGAAAUUGGGCUGUAAGCAUAAUUAUAGCUAGAAUGAGAAAGAAGGGAUUGAUUAAAGUUAAGUAGUAGAAUCGAUAGGAAUUCUUGAUUAACUGGAUAUGACUAUUGAGGGAAAGUAAAGACUCUAGGAUUACAUCUGGGUUUCUGUCCGUGGUACCAAUUACUGAAAUAAGAUACACAGAGAGGAAGGUUUGGGGAGAGAAUGAUGUGUUCAGAGUAAGUGGAAAUAGUUCUGUUACUUCCACAUGGUAAUUUCCAGUAGGGAAUUUGGUGUAAAAACUUAACAGUGUACAGCCAUCUCAUGUGCAUGAUAUUAUCUGAUUUCCAAGUCCUCAGAAUUAGGAUUUACAUGACAUUUUUGGAACUAAACUGAAAUCUAGACAGACGAGAUACUCAUCCACAUUCAACCAGGAAGUAAAGAGGAUGGGCAGGAAAGAAGCUUUGCCCCCUUAUUUCUUGUCUAAUGCUCUUUGCCCUGUGGCUCAUGAUCUCCCAGAAGGCACUAUGCUAGAGCUUGCAGAAUGGGUGAAUUUUAAUUCUUUGUAUAGAAUACAGUGGACUAUUUUACCACAUAUAUUGUACAAGGUUAUUUGUAGAUAUUGAAGGAUGAAGUGAGUAGACCAUGAAAAAUGAGAAAAAUUAUAAAGGACCUGAAAAUAAAACUUCUACUUCAUUGGAAAGGCACCUCCAUUAUUUGGCUUUCAGCACAUUUAAUUCUUUAUUUUAAGAGUGUGUGUCAGUGCAAAAUGAUCUCAAAAUGCAUUUUUUUCAUGCUGCAGAUGGAAUGCUGCUUUUUAAAGUGCUGCUUACAAAUUAAUCAACAUUAUGUAAAAUAAAUUGUGGGAGGUGGUCAAAGAGAAGCAGAAAUAAUAUUUCCUGAAUGGUUGCCCUUAGUAUCUUCACAGAAAUGACAUCUCAUAUAAGGUUAGCACGAGGAGCACAGUUACAGAAUAAAUUAUAAACAAGAUUAAAUGAAACAGUGGUGAAGAAAAAUAGGGGGGCUUAUGACACAAUGGAGAGAAAAAUGUUGGAUGAAAAGUGAAAAAUUAUAAAUCGUGGCACAUAAAAAUUGCAAUUUAGGACAAGGAAACUAUUUGACUAUAGAGAAACAAGAUUGGAAGGUGGAUGGAGAAAUAAGUACCAGGCAAGGACAGAAGAGGGCUAUGUAACUGACAAGUGUCAGUCUGACUUUCUUCUGGAAGAAGUUGGUCCCUCCAGGACCUGAUACUGCGCUAAAGUGGCCACAGCCAGAGCCGUGUGACAGCUCUUAUUUCCAUCAUCCCACUACCAUCUUCCAAGGCUUUUUAAAUGCAUGUCUAAAAGAAUAUUUUCUCUUUUGAGAUACAAAGAGAGUUCAAACUCUGUAAAUGUUAAAAAUCUUGUUUGUACCAUGUCAGUCUUUAGGGUAUGAUCUAGAUUAAGGCCCAAUUACUAGAAUAUAGAUGUGUGAUCUGAAUGAAGGAAGUAUCAAUCUUAGUACUACCAUUGGCUUUAUCUAUAUGAUUAGCUUUGAAACUAGCUCCUUGAGGGGAGCCUGGGUGACUCACUCAUUUGAGCAUUUUACUCAUGAUUUUAGCUCAUGUCAUAAUCUCACAGUUCAUUAGAUCGAGCCCUGCAUUGGGCUCUGCGUCGACAGCAUGGAAUGUGCUUAGGAUUCCUCUCUCUCUCUCUCUUCCCCGCCCCGUCUUUCCCCCUCUUCUCUCCCCUUCUCUCUCUCCUCCCCCCUCUCUCUCCCCCGCUCUCUCUCCCCCUCUCUCUCUCCUCCUCCCUCUCUCUGUCCCCCACCCCAGCUUGUGCUCUAUCUCUCCCUCUCAAAAUAAAUAAGUAAAUAAAUAAACAUUAAAAAAGUGAAAAAGAAAAUAGCUCCUUGAUAGGUCCCUGAAAGACAGGGGGAAAGAAGGAAGCCUUUCCACCUUAGAACUGGCAGUCCUUGGUUCUAGGUAAUCACAAAGACUCCAAAGAUGUUGUCAUCAUCCCCUUGUAAAUAAGGAACAAGAUGUUCUCCAAAACCUGAGAAUAUGUUCCACAGAGCCCUUUCAGAUUCUGAGCCCUAAUUACCAGUCACUUUGCCCUUUAUGGGGAUCUAGGUAUAGUGGAAGGGUAUCAAGUCCAGGAGAUAGAUGAUAUGAGCUAUUUUUAUCUGUGGCUGAAAAAUUCUGAUUCUAAGGAGCUCCUUGAUUUCACAUUGACAGAGCACAAAAUGAUCUGUGCAUGCAGUGUAAAUAGAGAAUACAGUAUUAGUGCAAAUUUACAAACACUUAUCACUUUAAAAUGGCUCUCAAACUUAGCUGUACAUCAGAAUCCUCUGGAAAGUUUGUUAAAACAUUACUGGGCCCCACCUCCAAAAUGUCUUAAUCAGCAGGUCAAAGGUAAGGCCUGAAAAUGUGUGUUUCUAACAUAUCCCAAGGUGAUGUUGAUGCUGCUGGUCCAGGACCACCCUUGAGAGCCACCCCUCAAUAUCAUACAGUAAUGAGUGGCAAUGCCAAUACUGAAGCAGGGGUAACCUCCCAGCCAGCACAGAGUUCACUCCAUGGCAGUAUGCCCCUUCCCCCCGUAUGCUACAUGGUCUGUGCAUUCAUCAGUCUGUGUGUUUAUUCGUUCCAGAAUUUCCGAGUUUGGAUUAAUUAAGCUAUUACUCAACAAGACAGAGAGGAGGUCCUGUGACCUCUAGCCAAUUCUAUCUGCCUGAUUUUCAGCAUUAAAAUCGCCAAGACACCUACAUAUACACGCUAUUUAAACUGGCCAAGCUCUGCAAGUGAAUUACUUUUAAACUGCCUGACCCAUGGGGUCAGAUAAGUUCAAAGGUGCAGAGUGAUAGAGUAUGGUCUACCCCUUUCGGUACUUGUGAUCUACCUGCUAUAACCUACACUCUGGAAUAUGUGAAAAGCAAAUGGUCCUCACCCACGGUCAUUUCCAUGAUCUACCCUGAGUGUGAUUCAACCUCAUCUGCCCUGUUACUCUGUUCUCACAUCUUUUAUAGUUUAGCUCCCUUUAAUCUCUGUUCUUUUGCCCUCGUAUAUGCUCAGUCGUCUUAUAUGUCACCUAUGCAAAAAGUGGUUUAUUAAUUUUUUUUGAGUUAACUUCCUUUUCAAAUAAGAUUUUGAUAUUUACCUUCUGGAGCCACCCACUCCCAUGUAGGCAACAAGACUAACAAUAGACAGGGUGCUGCUGGGCCACCAACCUGUCACACCUGUCCUCCUGUAGAUGGAUUCAGGUUAUACAGAGGAGGGUCAAAGAUAAAUAGCAUAUUGUGCCUACAGACAAGACACUAGAGCUGAAAGACAAGACUCCUCUGAAGCAGAUUACACUCCAUCACUUUCACUGUUGUCACCAUACUGAAAUCAGACAGAAUACCCAAGUAAAUCUAAAUUUUUGAAGCCACUCUGUAUUUACCCCUUGCAGGAAGCUUUCUGAAGCAGCACAGUCCCAAAAUCUCCCAUUUGAAUUCCUGAUAACGACUGUAAUAGCUGUGGAAGGUUGAGUUCUUGCCAAGCCCUGGGUGAAGCACUUGACUUGUAUUAUGUCAUUUAAGAACUGCAAUCCCUUUAUCAGAGAAGUACUGUUUUUUUCACAUUUCACAUGUGAGGAAAUUAAGACUUAGAUGUUAAGUAACCUGUCCAAAAUUACAUUCCUAAUCAGGGUCACAGCUAGUAGUUCAGCCCCAUCAGUUGGAUAUCAGAUAUCACACACUUGCUGGUGUGCUUUCUGCUUUCCUAUGGUACAGACAGCCAAUCACACAGCACUUUCACAGUUUUUGUUUGGCAGAUUUGAGAUGAAUAUCUUAGGAGCAAAUGUACCUCGAUUCAACACAGACAUGUGGUGCACCAAUGGAGUUUCCAGCCAGCUGUGUGCAAGGAUCCAUUGUAAUGGGGAGGUGGGAAAAGGAAACCAUUAAACUUGGUCCCUACUUAGGGAAAAUGUAUAUAUGCAAAUAUGCUGUGAGAAUAGGAUGGAAGAACAUAUGGCUAAGAGGCCAAAUGUGUGAAAUGCAAACUGCAAAAUUUGUAUUUUAACUAAAACCGACAACUAAAAAAAGAGGCUAAGUAGGCUAAAUAGUAUAAAGGCAUAUCUUCCAAAACCAUUGGCAGAGCUGCCCUCACCCCAAAUGGUGACAGACUGGCUGCCUAAUGUCCUAGGGACUUAGGCAUGUAUCUGUUGCACUGGGGGUAUUUACAAUGCCCUCCCAUUUUAAUAUUUAUUUAGAAGUUAAUUACUGUCACUGUCAGCUCUUUUAUCUCAACAACAUUUCAGAGAAAUGUAUUCAGGCAUUAUGUGACUUGUAAGUAAGAUUAACAAGAAAGUUCAGAGAAGUGUAAUAAUCAAGGGAUUUGGCUGUUAAUAAAGAACUUAAUGAAAAACAAAUGAGUUAACACCAUAUUGAAUUUGAAUUUGGUUAAAGCAAAUUCUAGAAUUACAUACAGUACACUUUCUUAAGCAUAAGUCAUUGUACACCUAGAAUUGAAAUUAACGACCAAUGACCACAUUCAUGUGCAAAUGGCCAAUGAGAAUACCAACUUUGAGGAUUAUUUUAGACUCAAAAGCCAGGGCUUUGCCUGUAUUAUUUAAAUCUUUAAAUAAACACAAAUGAGCUUUCAGGUGGGUUUCAUUGGAUGUAUUAUCUGCAUUACGCCCUCAUGCACACAUACACGUACAGACACGCAGACGUACUACUGAUGAGUUGAUAGAGUGUAUUACUCCUGCUCUACAGAUGGCUAAAGGGAUUAAGCAAAUAUCGUUGCUGCAGCAUGAGGCUGAGCCUUUGUAUUCAUUUAUAAAGUUAGGGAAGUCACUGAAGAGAAAGAAAAAUCAUGCAACUGGAAUGGAGAAGAAAAGCUCCAAUUAUAGUUCCAGAAUUGGCUGCCACCUUUAGUGUUAACAGAGUGUGCAUGUUUCUCAGAAGUGACACCUGCAUUGUCUAUUGGGAAACAUUUAAUCCCUGAAGUUGUAUUAAGGAGGCUGGUGAGCAUACAAGUGAAUAGAAAUGAUGUCAGCUCUUUCUCUGAUAGAAGAAAUUGCACUAAUUUAAAUAGGGGCAUAUCAGAGGGUUCUCUGGACCCCUCUUAAUUUGAUUUCAGUUGCAAUGUACCACUGUGCCCCUGCAGAAUACCUGGAAAUUACGUAAACAUGUGACUAUGUGAACGUAGGUAUCAUCCUGAUGUUCCCCUGCCCUUUUUAUACGCCUCUAUCCAGGAUUUGAUUAGCUUGUGUCUCUUCUAGAAGGGAGGCAUUUUGCUUUAUUUAACAUAGUAUGGCCAGUGACCAAAGUGUGCUAUAUGCAUCUGGUGGGCACCUGGGGAAUGUUUGUGGGGCCGUAUACUUAGAAAAACACCUCUUUUUCUCAGGGUCACAUCCAACAGCUUCCCCUAUGAUAGACCACAGCUGAGAGCUGGAGAUGUCAUACAAAGUCCUCCCAAACAGUUAGAAUGGAGGCGAAGAUGACACAGUGAUUGAAAUCUGUGCUUCAUCUGAAAUAAAUUCUCUUCUGCCUUCACAUAAUAUCCAACCUCCUGUCUUUAUUUUUGUCCCCAAUAAUUGUAGCAGUGCCUGGAACAUAGUUAGUGGGCAAUAGAUGAAUGUUGCACAGGAAAGCAUUUGAUAUAUGUUGAGAGAAUUCAGUUGGAAAAUGUUGACUGUGCUUAAUGUUUGGGCACUUAACAUAAGUUCUGGUAAUAUGACAAAGCCUCUCACGGUAGUGCUUAUUCUCUUGUGAUUAAAAAAAAAAGUGUGUGUGUGUGUGUGUGUGUGUGUGUGUGUGUGUGUGUAUUGAUGACUUCCAGGUGGCAUCAUUUUCUUGUCUCGAUCAGGAGAAGACCUGGGUUGUUCAGCCUGCUGCUGAGUUUGCUAUGAGAGUGUAAAGUCAAGACAGAUGCAGAUGCUAACAGGAUGCUGACACCUUUUCAGAUAACUGGCUUCAUCUGUCUGCCUGUUUAUGGGGAGGACUGAUUAUCAGCCAUGUGCAAAUGCAGGGGAACCGAUCUGAUCUCUGUGCUGUUUUACACCAUAGGCAGAGCCACCUCUCUAUCCCACAUUCACUCAGAAAGGCAGGAAAUAUAAUUAAGCUUUCAUGCAUAUUCCUGCAGUACCCUGCAUAGUCAUUCAGUCAUUAGAAGGAAAAAAAAAAUGAGUCAGUGUCAGCAAUGCUUUGCUUGUUUGAAGACACUACCUAAGA